UGAUACAGUUAAGUAUUGACAUCAAUCAUUGUUGCCAAUUAUCAAAUUCGUUUUAGCCGGAUAUCAAUGUCACCUUCCUCCAUGUUUGUGUAUAUCUACCGCAUUCAAUUUCUUUCUGAUUGCUACACAUUUUAACUUUUGAUAUAUAAUAUUAUCAAAUUCACCUUCUUCUCUUGAUGAAGGCAGGCUAAAAAAUGGGACAUCUCCAUCACCAUCAUGGUAGUAAUCAUCAUAUUCAUCAUCAAAAGCUCCACAAACUAGGAGGAGGAGAUAGUCCCUAUGAUGAUCCUUUCUUGAAUUCAUGUUGCUGUUUUCUGGCUACCUCAUACAUUUUCAUUGCUUUCCAGAGAUGCAUCCUUUUGCCAUGUUACUCAUUCUUCAAGUGCUUUGGGUGGAAUGACACUGACCCCAGAUAUCAUCAUUACAUCCAUCACUUGGAAAUGGAAUGAUUCUUACUCUCACUUAUCAAUUCCUUGAUGUAAAAGGUCUUUACUUGUUACAUAUUAUGAUUAUGAUUGCUGGAAUAACAUUCUUUUUGAAAAGCAA